rnacentral:rRNA from 1 species
CAGGCCUAACACAUGCAAGUCGAACGGUAACAGGUUAAGCUGACGAGUGGCGAACGGGUGAGUAAUGUAUCGGAACGUGCCCAGUCGUGGGGGAUAACUGCUCGAAAGAGCAGCUAAUACCGCAUACGACCUGAGGGUGAAAGCGGGGGAUCGCAAGACCUCGCGCGAUUGGAGCGGCCGAUAUCAGAUUAGGUAGUUGGUGAGGUAAAGGCUCACCAAGCCGACGAUCUGUAGCUGGUCUGAGAGGACGACCAGCCACACUGGGACUGAGACACGGCCCAGACUCCUACGGGAGGCAGCAGUGGGGAAUUUUGGACAAUGGGCGCAAGCCUGAUCCAGCCAUGCCGCGUGCGGGAAGAAGGCCUUCGGGUUGUAAACCGCUUUUGUCAGGGAAGAAAAGGUUCUGGCUAAUACCUGGGACUCAUGACGGUACCUGAAGAAUAAGCACCGGCUAACUACGUGCCAGCAGCCGCGGUAAUACGUAGGGUGCAAGCGUUAAUCGGAAUUACUGGGCGUAAAGCGUGCGCAGGCGGUUAUGCAAGACAGAGGUGAAAUCCCCGGGCUCAACCUGGGAACUGCCUUUGUGACUGCAUGGCUAGAGUACGGUAGAGGGGGAUGGAAUUCCGCGUGUAGCAGUGAAAUGCGUAGA